UACGUAGGGGCAAGCGUUGUCCGGAAGUCAUUGGGCGUAAAGCGGCGUGUAGGCGGGCUUGGUAAGUCUGCUCGUGAAAGCCCGGGGCUCAACCCCGGGGAGGCGGGUGGAUACUGUCAAGCUCGAGUCCGGAAGAGGAGUGUGGAAUUCCUGGUGUAGCGGUGAAAUGCGCAGAUAUCAGGAGGAACACCAAUUGCGAAAGGCAGCUCGCUGGGACGUUACUGACGCUGAGACGCGAAAGCGUGGGGAGCAAACAGG
rnacentral:rRNA from 1 species